rnacentral:rRNA from 1 species
UACAGAGGGGGCAAGCGUUGUUCGGAAUUACUGGGCGUAAAGGGCGCGUAGGCGGCCUUCUAAGUCGAACGUGAAAUCCCCGGGCUCAACCCGGGAACUGCGUCCGAUACUGGAAGGCUUGAAUCCGGGAGAGGGAUGCGGAAUUCCUGGUGUAGCGGUGAAAUGCGCAGAUAUCAGGAGGAACACCGGUGGCGAAGGCGGUUCUCUGGGCAUGUCCUGACGCUGAGGAGCGAAAGUGUGGGGAGCGAACAGG